rnacentral:rRNA from 1 species
CCCUUAGAUGUUCUGGGCCGCACGCGCGCUACACUGAUGCAUUCAACGAGCCUAUCCUUGACCGACAGGUCCGGGUAAUCUUUGAAUCUGCAUCGUGACGGGGAUAGAUUAUUGCAAUUAUUAAUCUUCAACGAGGAAUGCCUAGUAGGCGCAAGUCAUCAGUUUGCGUCGAUUACGUCCCUGCCCUUUGUACACACCGCCCGUCGCUCCUACCGAUUGGGUGUGCUGGUGAAAUGUUCGGAUCGGCCGUUUGUCGCGGUUUCCGCGUCAUGUGGCUGAGAAGUUCAUUAAACCCUCCCACCUAGAGGAAGGAGAAGUCGUAACA